rnacentral:rRNA from 1 species
AGUGAACGCUGGCGGUAGGCCUAACACAUGCAAGUCGAACGGCAGCACAGUAAGAGCUUGCUCUUACGGGUGGCGAGUGGCGGACGGGUGAGGAAUACAUCGGAAUCUACUUUUUCGUGGGGGAUAACGUAGGGAAACUUACGCUAAUACCGCAUACGACCUACGGGUGAAAGCAGGGGAUCUUCGGACCUUGCGCGAUUGAAUGCGCCGAUGUCGGAUUAGCUAGUUGGCGGGGUAAAGGCCCACCAAGGCGACGAUCCGUAGCUGGUCUGAGAGGAUGAUCAGCCACACUGGAACUGAGACACGGUCCAGAGUCCUACGGGAGGCAGCAGUGGGGAAUAGUGGACAAUGGGCGCAAGCCUGGUCCAGCCAUACCGCGUGGGUGAAGAAGGCCUUCGGGUUGUAAAGCCCUUUUGUUGGGAAAGAAAAGCAGCAGGUUAAUACCCCGCUGUCCUGACGGUACCCAAAGAAUAAGCACCGGCUAACUUCGUG